CCCCUCCAGAAUGCUUACCCCUCCGAUCUAAAUAUUGGUCUGAGUGAUUGAAAAAGAUGAAAACUAAAACUAAAGUGGACUUGGAGUCUUCAAUGACAUACAAGUUCAUUUCAAAUGUAA
rnacentral:snoRNA from 1 species